rnacentral:lncRNA from 1 species
ACUUCUUGCUGCUCCUAUCCCAUUUCUUUGAUUUCUUCGAAGGACCAGCAACAUCAACAUUACUUGUCGGUUCCACCACGUCAACAUUAGCAACUGGCUCCACGUUUUCUACUUCCACAACAGGAUUUACCACAUUCUCGCGUCGGGGAGUAACAUCACCCACUUUGUUAAGCAGUUUCGAAAAGUAAGAUCGAGCUUUCGGAUUAGUACUUGCCAUCAGAGCUGAAAAUCAACAAAAAAUUUAGCAAAGUUAAAAAACUUAUCCUAAAAAGCAAGAAAAUGCGGAAUAACCACGUACCAGUAAGAUCUUCUCGAGGAUGUGAUGAAGUAUACAACUGAAGCAAAGCACGAGUGGGAACUUGAUACGAGAAACGACUAAAAAC